rnacentral:rRNA from 1 species
GACGAACGCUGGCGGCGUGCUUAACACAUGCAAGUCGAACGGAAAGGCCUGUCCUUCCUUGUGUUGGACGGGUACUCGAGUGGCGAACGGGUGAGUAACACGUGAGUGAUCUGCCCCCAACUUGGGUAUAAGCCUGGGAAACUGGGUCUAAUUCCCGAUAGGACUGCAGGGUGGUGCCUGUGGUGGAAAACGAUUUUCUAGUGGUUGGGGAUGAGCUCGCGGCCUAUCAGCUUGUUGGUGGGGUAAUGGCCUACCAAGGCGGCGACGGGUAGCCGGCCUGAGAGGGUGGACGGCCACAUUGGGACUGAGAUACGGCCCAGACUCCUACGGGAGGCAGCAGUGGGGAAUAUUGCACAAUGGGCGGAGGCCUGAUGCAGCGACGCCGCGUGGGGGAUGACGGCCUUCGGGUUGUAAACUCCUUUCGACCGCGAGGAAGCCGCCUGGUUGGAAGGGUGGUGACGGUAGUGGUAGAAGAAGCACCGGCUAACUACGUG